UAACCCCUGCUCUGUUCGUGGAGGCCUGUUACUUUUGAGCCAACACUCGAAAUACGGGACUCUUGCUGAGGGCGUGGUGAGCAUGUUCGCGUCAAGCGAAAAGCCUGAAGCGUCACGCGGGAGGCCCACCUGGUUGUGCAGGUUCAAUUGCUGAACUUGACCACGGCAUUGGCGGGGGUUCU
rnacentral:other from 1 species